GAGGGGGGCAAGCGUUGUUCGGAAUUACUGGGCGUAAAGGGCUCGUAGGUGGCCAACUAAGUCAGACGUGAAAUCCCUCGGCUUAACCGGGGAACUGCGUCUGAUACUGGAUGGCUUGAGAUUGGGAGAGGGAUGCGGAAUUCCAGGUGUAGCGGUGAAAUGCGUAGAUAUCUGGAGGAACACCGGUGGCGAAGGCGGCAUCCUGGACCAACACUGACACUGAGGAGCGAAAGCCAGGGGAGCAAACGGGAUUAGAUACCCCGGUAGUCCUGGCCCUAAACGAUGAAUGCUUGGUGUGGCGGGUAUCGAUCCCUGCCGUGCCGAAGCUAACGCAUUAAGCAUUCCGCCUGGGGAGUACGGUCGCAAGGCUG
rnacentral:rRNA from 1 species